rnacentral:rRNA from 1 species
UACGGAGGGUGCAAGCGUUAUCCGGAUUUAUUGGGUUUAAAGGGUCCGUAGGCGGAUCGGUAAGUCAGUGGUGAAAUCUCAUAGCUUAACUAUGAAACUGCCAUUGAUACUGCAGGUCUUGAGUAAAGUAGAAGUGGCUGGAAUAAGUAGUGUAGCGGUGAAAUGCAUAGAUAUUACUUAGAACACCAAUUGCGAAGGCAGGUCACUAUGUUUUAACUGACGCUGAUGGACGAAAGCGUGGGGAGCAAACAGG